AGAAUCAUCCAGAGCUCCUGUGCUAUAAUGGCAGUUUGAACCGCUGGAGCCGAGAUUUGAGCCCCGGGACCCAUCAGUCCUGCUGGACCGUCUGUGAAACUGGUCCUGAACCCAGUGACCUCCGCCUCUGGGGGCAAUUCCAUCUCCAGUGGUUUUUGCCACAGGCUGGACAGGGUCGAAGUUGCUUCGUCUUGCUGCCUGGGCAAUCCUUAAAAUGCCCUGGCCUGCCACAUCAAUAGCAACUAGCAGAUGCACCUUGGGGAUUCUGGAUGUUGCAAGCCUGCAAAGCUGCUGCUAGAGCCUCUGUCCGUCUCCCGAGCUUGCUCUCUUUCUUUUGGGCAUCCUCCUCCUGGUCCAUAUUAUUAAAGACCGAAGUGGCCACUUUCAGGAGGCUCUCUAAGGUGCUGUCUGGUCCUGUACCUUGGUUUUGUAGUUUCCUUCUACUAUCAGGAGCUGCCUUGUGUAAUAAACUUGUCCUUCAGGAUGAGCUGUUCCUCAACUGAAUUACGGGAUAAGGAGGUAUACUCUAUUAGUGCCUUUCCAUAAAGGCUACAGGAGUCUUAUCUGGCUUUUGGUCCAUUAUAGACAGUUUAGAGUAUGAUACCUUGUUUUAACCUGAAUUGACUCUCCCUUAGCUGAGAGAGCCAGACAGACACCAUCUUGGCUCCUUCACUUACAGCCCCUUACUCACCCCCUUCCUCAAGGACUUAACUUGUGCAAGCUGACUCCCAGCACAUCCAAGAGUGCAAUUAACUGAUAAGAUACUGUGGCAAGCUAUAUCUGCAGUUCCUAGGAAUUUGCCCAGUUGAUAGCACCCAGAGCCCCCCGCGUUUGUGUCCGGUUGAUAACACCCAAAGCCCCGCGCCUAUCACCUUGUGAUGGAUUUAAAACCCCUGCACCUGGAACCGUUUGCUUUCCUGUAACCAUUUAUCCUUUUUACUUUUUGCCUGCUUUAUUUCUGUAAGAUUGUUUUAACUAGACUCCCCCCACUCCCCUUUCUAAACCAAAGUAUAAAAGAAAAUCUAACCCCUUCUUCAGGGCCGAGAGAAUCUUGAGCACUAGCCGUCUCUCGGUCUCUGGCUAAUAAAGGACUCCUGAAUUUG
rnacentral:lncRNA from 10 species